rnacentral:rRNA from 1 species
CUACGGGUUGCUCCAGUGAGGAAUAUUGGUCAAUGGGCGAGAGCCUGAACCAGCCAAGUCGCGUGAAGGAAGAAGGUUCUAUGGAUUGUAAACUUCUUUUGUAAGGGAAUAAAAAGAGUUACGUGUAACUUAUUGUAUGUACUUUACGAAUAAGGAUCGGCUAACUCCGGGCCAGCAGCCGCGGUAAUACGGAGGAUCCAAGCGUUAUCCGGAUUUAUUGGGUUUAAAGGGUGCGUAGGCGGACCCAUAAGUCAGUGGUGAAAGUUUGCAGCUUAACUGUAAAAUUGCCAUUGAAACUGUGGGUCUUGAGUGUAAAUGAGGUAGGCGGAAUGUGUUGUGUAGCGGUGAAAUGCUUAGAUAUAACACAGAACACCAAUUGCGAAGGCAGCUUACUAGAAUACAACUGACGCUGAGGCACGAAAGCGUGGGGAUCAAACAGGAUUAGAUACCCGGGUAGUC